ACCCCACCUGCUCUCCCACCCAGGACCCUAAGCAAUACUGAAGCAUUUUAUCUCCAAACAGUCAAAAGCUGCCCGAUGGUCUCUGGACCCCAGGGCGACUCACCGCAGCCAGGUAGUUACAAGUGGGUGCUUCUGUGCUGCCGUCUGCUCAUCCUAGAGGACAAAGCAAAGCAGGGCCACGCGUUGGGGUGAGCGCAGGUUUGGGCACUCGGAAGCCCUCCUUUGUCCCCACAACCAGAGGGAGGCCCAUAUCCCCUGCGGUGGCCCGGAGGUGAGCCUUCCCUCCCCAAGGCCCCGGUGGGGCUUUCUCUCUUACCAAUCGCACAGCCACUGUCUCCUGCAGCAGGGAACUCAUGUGCGCUUCCCUGCGUGUCAUCUUCCUCCUGCUACAGACAGGGGAGUUUGGUGUGUGAGAAGAGGCCUCGGCCGGCACCAGGACCUCACCCCCUCCCCACGCCCCCCAUCCCAAGGUGGCCACGGGGACCCGAGGCAGCUGCCCGGCCUCUGCUGGAGCUGGGGCGGGCACCUCUGGGUGCCAGACGUGCACAGGCCCAGCCUUCCCGAGCUCCAGCCAACGGCCCAGAUGGCUGGGGGCUGCUGGGAUCCCAGCUCCCCCCUGCCUCAGGUCUGGGCUGUGCUGCUACUUACGGGGCAGUGCGCUUUUGGAUCAUCUGUAGUGUAUUCUGGAGGUUGCUCAUCUCCAGCUCCAGCUCCUCCUUCAGUGCCUGGAGAAGGAAAGGGUCCGGUCAAGAGCCUGUCCCGUGUCUGCUGGCAGGGGGCUUUCCCCGAUCAAUGCGCUGCUCUCCAUUCUCUCCC
ensembl:lncRNA